GAUCCUGGCUCAGGACGAACGCUGGCGGCGCGCCUAACACAUGCAAGUCGAACGAGAGAGAGGGAGCUUGCUUCCUCAAUCGAGUGGCGAACGGGUGAGUAACGCGUGAGGAACCUGCCUCAAAGAGGGGGACAACAGUUGGAAACGGCUGCUAAUACCGCAUAAGCCCACAGCUCGGCAUCGAGCAGAGGGAAAAAGGAAGCAAUCCGCUUUGUAGAUGGCCGUCCGCGUCCGACUUAG
rnacentral:rRNA from 1 species